GGAUGACUCCGCAGACGGAGAAGGCGACCCCCUCCCGCCUCCCUGCAAGCCUUGGACCCCAUUCUCCAAAUCCCAGAUGACUGGGCAAACACUAACGAAUAUGGUGCCAGCCCCAACAGCAAGGAGAGGCACCUUUGAUCUGGGGCUUGCGGUGUCCCAAGCCCUGAGCUGAGCACAUUAAAAAUGUGGCAUUGUUAUCAAAGCCCUGUGAAGUGGGUGAUACAGUUCCUGUCUUACACAUGAGGAAAUUGAGGCUCAGAGAGGUGCAGACAUUCACCUGAGGUCACACAGCUCUGAGGUGGCGCUUUAUGGAAUCCUUUCCGAGGCUCGUGUCCAAGUGCUGAGAUGGUGGGCAGAGGCAAUUGCAGUUCUGGGAUGGUCUAGAUGACUGGUGGUUUGUAAACUUCUUUUUCUGUCAGGAUCUCCUUUGGGCCGAGGAAGCUGUGGGCGACAGCCUACAGUGUGCCCACAGCUGCGGUGAGGCCCUCCUUCCCACCUCGAUUUGCCAGCUUGGCUCUGCCCUCAGAACUGCUCCUGCAGCCCCUUCUCCGAACCCCAGAAAUCUGGGGUAAUCUCUACACCCAAUGUGGGGCUCAAACUCACAACCCUGAGAUCAAGAGUCGCAUGUUCUACCCACUGAGCUGGCCAGGCAACCCUCAAAUAAUUAACUUUUUUAUUUAUUAAAAAAAUUGUUUUAAAUGUU